GAAAGUAACGCUUUGAUAGAAAAAUCGAUCUAAAGCUAAAGUAUAAAAGCAAGCGAUGGAAGGUGCUUACAAAAAAUAUAGGCGCUCAAGAAAAUGUUGAAGCUCCAUCUCAUCACAGAAACUAUCUAAAAAAAAACCAACAUUCAAACGAAAUUCAAAAAGAUGGUCUCCUCUUGUUCAGUCCCAUUUCUUCUCGCGCAGUG
rnacentral:rRNA from 1 species